GAGGAUUUUAUUAGAGGAAGCCAGACACAGAGAAACAUUAGAGCUUACACUGAAACGGAGCUACAGCUCUGUGUCUUGUAGAAGAUUUAUUUUCAAAGCUACAUGUGUGACGGUAAUAAUCCGUGCCAGAGCAGACCUCAUUAGCACUUCCGCUAGUUCGGCUAACCUUUCCGGUCACUCCAGGGACGCUGCUGUCGAGUGAAAGUAGCAGUUCCUCCUGAAGGUCAGAGAUGGCAGCAUCUGAGGGCCUCUUCAAAAGAAGACGUAGUUGAUGAAGGCGUUCUGGAGCAGGACCAGAAAGACCACGACCAAGCAGCCUUGAGAUCUUGGGCAGCGUCUCCCUCAGGUCCCUCUCUAUCUCCCCACACAUCCACCAACCACUGGAACACAUCUCCAAAGUUCUGCUGGACCAGCUCAGCUUCCCCUCAGAAGAAGUGCUGCCACCUGCCAGAUGAAGGAGCCUUUUGAGAGGCAGCUGGCAUCGUGAUUGGACUGUACUUUGGUCUGUUCCAAUCCAGCUUCAGCUCCAGAGACGGCAGGCGGGACGAGUCAACGGAGGCCUGGUGGACGAAGACCAAAGAACUACAGACUCUUCACAAC
ensembl:lncRNA